rnacentral:snRNA from 1 species
CCAAAGGCACGUGUCGUUG